rnacentral:rRNA from 1 species
GGAUGAACGCUAGCGGCAGGCUUAAUACAUGCAAGUCGAGGGGCAGCAGCUCUGUAGCAAUACAGAGGCUGGCGACCGGCAAACGGGUGCGGAACACGUACGCAACUUACCCAUAACUGGUGAAUAGCCCUCCGAAAGGAGGAUUAAUACAUCGUAACAUAAUGAGAUGGCAUCAUUUUUAUAUUAUAGCUCCGGCGGUUAUGGAUGGGC